rnacentral:rRNA from 1 species
UACGAAGGGGGCUAGCGUUGUUCGGAUUUACUGGGCGUAAAGCGCACGUAGGCGGAUUGGUCAGUUAGGGGUGAAAUCCUGGAGCUCAACUCCAGAACUGCCUUUAAUACUGCCAGUCUCGAGUCCGGAAGAGGUAAGUGGAACUCCUAGUGUAGAGGUGGAAUUCGUAGAUAUUAGGAAGAACACCAGUGGCGAAGGCGGCUUACUGGUCCGGUACUGACGCUGAGGUGCGAAAGCGUGGGGAUCAAACAGG